CAAGUCUCUGUUGGAGUCAGUCAGAGCAUUUCCAUAGAGAGCCACUUUGCAUCAGCAGCACCAUGCUCCAGUGCUCUGGGAGAGUUUAUAGUCCUGAGAGUUGAAGACUGGAUGACUGACAGCUGUCCUUCAUGACAACAGAAGCCACAGAAAUCCUCCUCAUCAAAAACAUGACUUUGAUCUCCGUCCUCAUCUGGACUCUCCUCUGCUGCUGCUUCACAGAGUCCAGAGGCCAGGUCACAGUGACUCAGCCUGGAGCAAUGAGUGCUGCUGUGGGAGGCUCCGUCACCAUCACAUGUAGAACCAGUCAGAAUGUUCAUUAUAACAGCCCAUACCACUAUUUAGCCUGGUACCAACAGAGAGAUGGAGAAACUCCUAAACUGCUAAUUUACCUUGCUUCCACUCGAGCAUCAGGGAUUCCAGGUCGUUUUACAGGCAGUGGAUCAAACUCUGACUUCACUCUGACCAUCAGUGGAGUCCAGGCUGAAGAUGCAGCAGUUUAUUACUGUCAGAGUCUUCACUAUAUCAACAGUCAGUGGGUGUUCACACAGUGAAAAAGCGUCGUACAAAAACCUCCCUCAGUCAGACUGAACAGAAACUGAAGUGACUGCUGCAGCUGGAAGCUACUGCAGAGACUGAUACAGUUCACUAGACAUGGAUGUCCUCCCUCACUACUCUUGUUGAUGCUUUCAUGAAGAAUCACACAAAAAACAAAGGCACUUUUGUGCAGUCAUACCACCAUAAAAUCUAUACUGUUGACAUUCUGCUUUAUUUCACAAUUUUCUUUCCUUCCUUCCAUUUCAAGUUAGAUAGAAACAAUGUUAUAGUGUCUUUCUCUUGAUUUUAUGGAGGGUGUCUGGCACCAAGGAAGGCAUUACAUUUGUACAAUCAUUACACCUAAUGCUAAUAUUACUAAUAACUAAUAUUGUGUUAUUUUU